GAGAGGUAACGGCUCACCAAGGCAUCGACGGGUAGCUGGUCUGAGAGGAUGAUCAGCCACACUGGAACUGAGACACGGUCCAGACUCCUACGGGAGGCAGCAGUGGGGAAUCUUACACAAUGGGCGCAAGCCUGAUGCAGCGAUGCCGCGUGCGGGAAGAAGGCCUUAGGGUUGUAAACCGCUUUCAGGAGGGAAGAAAAUGACGGUACCUCCAGAAGAAGGUGCGGCCAACUACGUGCCAGCAGCCGCGGUGACACGUAGGCACCAAGCGUUAUCCGGAUUUAUUGGGCGUAAAGAGCUCGUAGGCGGUUUGGUAAGUCGGGUGUGAAAACUCUGGGCUCAACCCAGAGAGGCCACUCGAUACUGCUAUGACUAGAGUACGGUAGGGGAGCGGGGAAUUCCUGGUGUAGCGGUGAAAUGCGCAGAUAUCAGGAGGAACACCAGCGGCGAAGGCGCCGCUCUGGGCCGUAACUGACGCUGAGGAGCGAAAGCAUGGGUAGCAAACAGGAUUAGAUACCCUGGUAGUCCAUGCCGUAAACGUUGGGCACUAGGUGUGGGUCUCAACCAACGAGAUCCGCGCCGUCGCUAACGCAUUAAGUG
rnacentral:rRNA from 1 species